rnacentral:rRNA from 1 species
GACGAACGCUGGCGGCGUGCUUAACACAUGCAAGUCGAACGGUAAGGCCCUUCGGGGUACACGAGUGGCGAACGGGUGAGUAACACGUGGGUGAUCUGCCCUGCACUUCGGGAUAAGCCUGGGAAACUGGGUCUAAUACCGGAUAGGACCAUUGCCUGCAUGGGUGGUGGUGGAAAGCUUUUGCGGGGUGGGAUGGGCCCGCGGCCUAUAAGCUUGUUGGUGGGGUGAUGGCCUACCAAGGCGACGACGGGUAGCCGGCCUGAGAGGGUGACCGGCCACACUGGGACUGAGGUACGGCCCAGACUCCUAAGGGGGGCAGAAGUGGGGAAUAUUGCACAAUGGGCGCAAGACUGAUGCAGCGACGCCGCGUGAGGGAUGACGGCCUUCGGGUUGUAAACCUCUUUCAGCAUCGACGAAGCGCAAGUGACGGUAGGUGCAGAAGAAGGACCGGCCAACUACGUGCCAGCCGCCGCUGUAA